UCAUUUGGAUUGAGGCGUCCAAUUUUUUCUUCCGUGUCGGACGGCUGAUGGUAAGCAUUAUCGGGGAUCGGAACUUUCGGGGUCGAUCGAUCUGCACGUCGUGCGCCAUCUUUUGUCGUCCCGAGGGGAUGGGCGGGGUUGAUCGGCGCCGCGAAGGAUGCGGCAUGGUGUGAAGGAUGUGGCAUGGUGACCGGCUGGAGGGACACCCGUUUCCCUGACUCGAUUUUCUAGGUUUCAUCCAAUAUCAAUCUCUUCUCCUCAUCGAUCCUCAACAUCUCCCUUUUUUUUCUCUUGUCCUUUCUCCACCGUUCUUCUCGUUCAAUCGGCGGGCAACUGCUGUUGCAGCUACAUCGGCGGUGACGCCGCCACAGCUCCGCCAAGCUAGGCUUCCUCCCGGCGACUGCUCCCCCAAUCUCUGGCGCCCUCUCUGUUGUUUGCUCAUCGAUCAUUGAGGGCGAGGUGGUGGGGAAAGGGGACCGUGAAGCAGUGGAGUUCUCGAUGGGCGACGGCGAUGGCAGGGCGGUUGCUCCCGUGUCUGUCCGCGAGGCAGCCAUGGCUAUUCCGGUGGCCGUCAGCGAGGUCCCCACGGAGCACUUCGUGAGGGACAUCGGCGCAGCCAUGGGGGUUCGCUUCCUGGCGUGCGAGGCGACCUACUACAAUGGGGAUCUCGUAGGUGGAGCUCUUAUCCCCAAACCAGCAGCCAACCAUGGGGCAAACUGGAUCCCAAGGUAGGGAUGGUGGUGGUGGAGCAGGGGGGAGGGACAGUUUCUCAGCGAACUCUGCAAGCACAAGUUCAGCCAAGAAAAGCAGAAUAGGUACAGUGAAAAGAAGCAUUUGGACCACGCCUCCUGAUUUACAAGGUUAACUAUUUUGUAAAACCAAAAUAUUAUGUGCACAUUACAGUUUUGUUUUACCUUUAUUGAAUUAUUUUGUAAUUUAUUUUAUGUGUGUGCUGUGAUUGAUGCACAUGAGUGGACAUCUUCAUUCCUUUUUCUGUUCUGGGAUAUUCUAACCUUCCUUAUUUGGCCCUCCACGUGGACGUCGAAGAUUGCUUCUCAACGACGGUUGUGGGGCAUUUCCGACCAUUCCAACCACCACAACCGUCAUACUCGAGCUAUAAAUAGGUUUCACCUCCUCCACUCCUUCACACACUCCAAGAAGAAGAUCAAGCUCUCUCUAAAGUUUAGUUUAGUAUUCUAGUGCUAGUGGAGUAGAAUUAGAAUAGUUCUCUUAAUCCUCGAGUCUUCAGAAGAUUUCCGCUGCUGCUUCUUUGUUUGUCGGUACACUCUCUUGGAGUCACUCUGAAGAUGUGACCUCCUAAUAAAGGUAUAAUCUAUCUAUGUUGUACUUUGUUGCUCC